CUCCCCCUUGCAGAUCUAGUUGCCGUUCGACCAGGAUUAUAUUCAAUAGGCAACGAUGAGAUGGCUGAGAAUUUCCCCAAUCCAAAUAAGGAAGAGAGAGUGCGCUUCAUCCCCUUUAUGAUGCGGGGCCUGGGAUUUCCAAUCCAUCCCUUCCUCCGGGGGUUAUUGGAGUUUUACGGCAUCCAACUGCACAACCUCACCCCAGGUUCAAUUUUGCACAUCCCAGGCUUUGUUGCUCUCUACGAGCUAUUCCUAGGUACCGAGGCCCAUUUUGGAUUAUGGAGGAAAUACUUCUGCCUUGUUCCCCGCCACCAAGGGGGUUCCAUAUUUGAAGUGGGCGGUGCCGAAUUAUGGCGUAAUGCCAGAUCCGGAUACCCUACAGGAACACCUAAAGAGGCAUACCCACAGUGGUCUUCGGAGUGGUUUUAUAUGGAC
rnacentral:rRNA from 1 species